rnacentral:rRNA from 1 species
CCUACGGGAGGCAGCAGUAGGGAAUCUUCCGCAAUGGACGAAAGUCUGACGGAGCAACGCCGCGUGAGCGAUGAAGGCCUUCGGGUCGUAAAGCUCUGUUGUCAGGGAAGAACAAGUACCGGAGUAACUGCCGGUACCUUGACGGUACCUGACCAGAAAGCCACGGCUAACUACGUGCCAGCAGCCGCGGUAAUACGUAGGUGGCAAGCGUUGUCCGGAAUUAUUGGGCGUAAAGCGCGCGCAGGCGGUUCCUUAAGUCUGAUGUGAAAGCCCCCGGCUCAACCGGGGAGGGUCAUUGGAAACUGGGGAACUUGAGUGCAGAAGAGGAGAGCGGAAUUCCACGUGUAGCGGUGAAAUGCGUAGAGAUGUGGAGGAACACCAGUGGCGAAGGCGGCUCUCUGGUCUGUAACUGACGCUGAGGCGCGAAAGCGUGGGGAGCGAACAGGAUUAGAUACCCUGGUAGUCACGCCGUAAACGAUGAGUGCUAAGUGUUAGAGGGUUUCCGCCCUUUAGUGCUGCAGCAAACGCAUUAAGCACUCCGCCUGGGGAGUACGGCCGCAAGGCUGAAACUCAAAGGAAUUGACGGGGGCCCGCACAAGCGGUGGAGCAUGUGGUUUAAUUCGAAGCAACGCGAAGAACCUUAC